UUCAUUGCGCAUGCUACCAUGCAGUCGAGCGGAACGAGUUAUCUGACCCUUCGGGUGACGAUAACGGCGUCGAGCGGCGGACGGGUGAGUAAUGCCUGGGAAAUUGCCCUGAUGUGGGGGAUAACCAUUGGAAACGAUGGCUAAUACCGCAUAAUAGCUUCGGCUCAAAGAGGGGGACCUUCGGGCCUCUCGCGUCAGGAUAUGCCCAGGUGGGAUUAGCUAGUUGGUGAGGUAAGGGCUCACCAAGGCGACGAUCCCUAGCUGGUCUGAGAGGAUGAUCAGCCACACUGGAACUGAGACACGGUCCAGACUCCUACGGGAGGCAGCAGUGGGGAAUAUUGCACAAUGGGCGCAAGCCUGAUGCAGCCAUGCCGCGUGUAUGAAGAAGGCCUUCGGGUUGUAAAGUACUUUCAGCAGUGAGGAAGGUGGGUAUGUUAAUAGCAUACUCAUUUGACGUUAGCUGCAGAAGAAGCACCGGCUAACUCCGUGCCAGCAGCCGCGGUAAUACGGAGGGUGCGAGCGUUAAUCGGAAUUACUGGGCGUAAAGCGCAUGCAGGUGGAUGAUUAAGUCAGAUGUGAAAGCCCGGGGCUCAACCUCGGAAUAGCAUUUGAAACUGGUCAUCUAGAGUACUGUAGAGGGGGGUAGAAUUUCAGGUGUAGCGGUGAAAUGCGUAGAGAUCUGAAGGAAUACCGGUGGCGAAGGCGGCCCCCUGGACAGAUACUGACACUCAGAUGCGAAAGCGUGGGGAGCAAACAGGAUUAGAUACCCUGGUAGUCCACGCCGUAAACGAUGUCUACUUGGAGGUUGUGGCCUUGAGCCGUGGCUUUCGGAGCUAACGCGUUAAGUAGACCGCCUGGGGAGUACGGUCGCAAGAUUAAAACUCAAAUGAUUGACGGGGGCCCGCACAAGCGGUGGAGCAUGUGGUUUAAUUCGAUGCAACGGCGAAGAACCUUACCUACUCUGAACAUCCAU
rnacentral:rRNA from 1 species